rnacentral:rRNA from 1 species
UACGGAGGGUGCGAGCGUUGUCCGGAAUCAUUGGGCGUAAAGGGCGCGUAGGUGGCCCGGUCAGUUCGUGGUGAAAGCGCGGGGCUCAACUCCGACGUCGGCCCAUGGAAUACUGCUGGGCUUGAGCACUGUAGAGGCAGGCGGAAUUCCGGGGUGUAGCGGUGGAAUGGCGUAGAGAUCCGGAAGAACGACCGGUGGCGAAGGCGGCCUGCUGGGCGAGUAGCUGACACUGAGGCGCGACAGCGUGGGAGCAACAGG